rnacentral:rRNA from 1 species
UACGUAGGGUGCGAGCGUUGUCCGGAAUUAUUGGGCGUAAAGAGCUCGUAGGCGGCUUGUUGCGUCGGAUGUGAAAGCCCGGGGCUUAACUCCGGGUCUGCAUUCGAUACGGGCAGGCUAGAGUUCGGUAGGGGAGAUCGGAAUUCCUGGUGUAGCGGUGAAAUGCGCAGAUAUCAGGAGGAACACCGGUAGCGAAGGCGGAUCUCUGGGCCGAUACUGACGCUGAGGAGCGAAAGCGUGGGGAGCGAACAGG